GGGCCAUCCAUGUGGGAAGAGCUCGGGUCCAUAAUGAUCAAUUACUCUCAGGACAGGCUGGCAACCCACGCUGUCAAUUUUGGGUCAACCUGGCUCUGCGAUUGCUCUGGAUGGGAACCGCCUCUCAGGCUAUCCAUCUAUAAAUUGAGGAUGCAGCUACUGCAACAAUCCACAGUUCAUACCGUCAAAAGGGAAUACUCAUUAAGUCACAGACUGGGGCAUUUCAUCCAGCUGUCCAAGGGCUGAGGUCUAGUCCCAGGUCUGGACAAGAGAACUAGAGUCCAGGACAACAGGUUCGAAUCCUGGCUCUCAUAUAUUCUACCUGCGUGACCUUGAACAAAGUCACUUUAGCUUUGAGGGCUGAGUUUCUUCAUUGAUAAAAUUUGGGAUGGGAAUUAGCUCCUGUUUCGGGCUCAUUCAGCUUUUCAAAAGCUAGAUUCUGGGAGUCUCCUCAGAGCUGUAAAUGCCUGAUCAAAAAACAGCCAAACAUCGCAGAUAAGGAAACUAGGGGCUCCAGGCCCGUCCUUAGGUCCUGUUCCUCAAGCCGGCGGAAAGACCUCCGCCUCCCCUCCUACCACUGCCAAGCAGACCCCGGGGCCGCGUGUCGCAGGCCAGCAGGACUGGGCGCCCAUCAGGUGCCAGCCAGGAGAGAGACCACAGUGCCGCGUCCGCACGCCUUUGAGACCCACGUGCGCUGCUUCUUUAAAUGUCCCGGCCCUUUAACAGAUCGCACCGCGCCCACUCCGGCGGGGGCUCCGGCGGCGGGGGCUCUGGCGGCGGGGAGAACCCGGCCCCGCUGAAGGCCCGAGGCCUGGAGCCCCUCCCGCGCUCCUCCACUCGCCAGUUCCGGGCCGGCCCCCAACGCAGCGGUCCCGGCGCCCUCCCCUCCCCAGCCGCUGGGGCCGCAUCCCCGGAACCGCCCCGAGGCGCGACCCGCCGCGGCGAGGGGCGUGCGGAGGACAAGGCCCCGCCUGCGGAGUGCAGCUCCACCUCGCGCCCUUCGAACGCCGGGCGAUCGGGCCCCCAUCCGCGCGCCCCAUCCAGCCGGCUCACCUGCUCCGCCGCGCAGCUCCAGCGGUGUUUACUGGCCGAGCGCCCGGCAGACCCGGUGCCGGCGCAGGCCCCGCCCCCGGCCCGCCCCGGCCCCGCCCCGCCGGCGACGCCACGCUCCCGGGUCCAUGUCCGGCCUCACUGGAGCCCGGGCACCGCGUAGGCGAGGGGCCGGGCUUCCCUUCGAGAGCCGCGGGGACCCGGGAAUGAAUCUGCCAUUGGACUGAGCACUGACCUGAGAGGCAGUGGAGGCCGCACCUGUAAUAGCUUCCAAACUACCAGGAGCACUAGAUCAAAUUAAGCAUGGAUGAAAUUGCUACCCAUGCCCUGAGAAUUGACCUAAGUUGUUUCCAGGAUUUGGGGUCCAUGGGGUGAGUUGAGAUGGUCAGUAAUCUGAUAUUUCUGAGUAGCUUCACUUACAAUAAAAAAUUAAGGGGAAAUCCAUUCAACGUAAAAUUAACCAUGUAAAGUGUACAAUUCAAUGGCAUUUAGUACAUUCCUGAUAUGUAGGUGGUUCAAACCUAGCCACCUUGGUCUAUUUCCACAACAUUUCCAUCAAUCCAAAAUAAAACCUCCUACCCAUUGAUUUGCUUUGUUCACAUCCUCUUCUCCCCUCAGUCCCUGGCAGCCUAUUGACCUAUUUUGGAUAUUUCAUAUAAAUGAAAUCAUAGGGUAUGUAACGUUUUGUAACUGACUUCUGGCACUUAGCAUAAGUGUUUUCAAGGUUCAUCCACAUUGUGG
ensembl:lncRNA